rnacentral:rRNA from 1 species
GAAAGCAUUGGGGGAGCAAACAGGAUUUAGAUACCCGUGGUUAGUUCCCAUGCCGUAAACGAUGUCUACUAGCCCGUGGGGUUCUUUUGAGACUUUAGUGGAAGCAGGCUUAACGCGAUAAGUAGCCGCCCUGGGGAGUACGGUCGCAAAGACUAAAAACUCAAAUGGAUUGACGGGGGCCCGCACAAGCGGUGGAGCAUGUGGUUUAAUUCGAUGCAACGCGAAGAACCUUACCUGGUCUUGACAUAGUAAGAACUUUCCAGAGAUGGAUUGGUGCCUUCGGGAACUUACAUACAGGUGCUGCAUGGCUGUCGUCAGCUCGUGUCGUGAGAUGUUGGGUUAAGUCCCGCGACGAGCGCAACCCUUUUCCUUACUUGCCAGCAUUUCGGAUGGGAACUUUAAGGAUACUGCCAGUGACAAACUGGAGGAAGGCGGGGACGACGUCAAGUCAUCAUGGCCCUUACGACCAGGGCUACACACGUGCUACAAUGGUCGGUACAAAGGGUUGCUACCUAGCGAUAGGAUGCUAAUCUCAAAAAGCCGAUCGUAGUCCGGAUUGGAGUCUGCAACUCGACUCCAUGAAGUGGGAAUCGCUAGUAAUCGCGGAUCAGAAUGCCGCGGUGAAUAAGUUCCCGGCCCUUGUACAC